UACGUAGGGUGCGAGCGUUGUCCGGAAUUAUUGGGCGUAAAGAGCUCGUAGGCGGUUUGUCGCGUCUGCUGUGAAAACCCGAGGCUCAACCUCGGGCCUGCAGUGGGUACGGGCAGACUAGAGUGCGGUAGGGGAGAUUGGAAUUCCUGGUGUAGCGGCGGAAUGCGCAGAUAUCAGGAGGAACACCGAUGGCGAAGGCAGAUCUCUGGGCCGUAACUGACGCUGAGGAGCGAAAGCAUGGGGAGCGAACAGG
rnacentral:rRNA from 1 species